CCUGUUCGAGCGUCAUUAUAACCACUCAAGUUUCGACUUGGUAUUGGGGUUCGCGGUUUCGCAGCCCUUAAAAUCAGUGGCGGUGCCGUUUGGCUCUAAGCGUAGUAAUUCUCUCGCUACAGGGUCCGGGUGGUUGCUUGCCAGAACUCCCACUUUUAUAGGUUGACCUCGGAUCAGGUAGGGAUACCCGCUGAACUUAA
rnacentral:misc_RNA from 1 species